AUCCAGUUGACGAGUCCCAAAUGGGACGAAACGUGCGUCCUGGAU
rfam:Schistosoma curassoni strain Dakar, Senegal genome assembly, scaffold: SCTD_scaffold0002318